rnacentral:ncRNA from 3 species
ACUGGACUUGGAGUCAGAAGGCC